rnacentral:lncRNA from 1 species
CCCCCACUGUACUGUGAAGCUCAGGGCAAGACUUUCUAAAAGUCUUCUGCCUACACCUGACAUGCUGUCCAGUGUGCACAGUUAUAUGUUGACUGUAUGAAGAUGGUGAAGGCUUUUCUGUAGUUGCAGAUCUCGCAAAAGGGGAGGAAGGCCUUCACCGCUGAACCCGAGCUUUGCCAUUUCGAAGUGCUGAGUCACCUCGUCCUCUCAGGGUCAGACACUUUCACGCAGGAAACGUCCUGCAGAGCACCGCAGCGGGAGCACCGAGCUGAUGUGGAAACUCAGAGAGGAUGCCACUGUUUUGAACUAUUUUGAAGGCACAGCCACCAGAGCUUUAGGUCAGAAGAGGUCCUUGGAACUGGAAUUACAGGUGGCUGUGAGCCUCCAGGUAGGUGCUGAGAAUCAAGCAGCCUGGCUCCUCUGUAGGAGCUCUAAGGAAUGCUCUUACCUGCUGAGCCAUCUGUCCAGCCCUGAUUGUCCUGGCUGUUAAUUGAGGAAGGAAGACUUACUCUGAGGGAGGGCUGAGCCAGUCCCCAGGCUGCUCCCUGAAUGGUAUGUAGAGGAGGGGAGCCAGCUAAGCACUGACCAGCGAGGGUGUGCACAUUUUCUUUGGUCUUUGUUUUGAAUGUGGUGUGGCUGGCUGCUUCAAUUCCUGACUUGAUUUCCUCAAAAGGAUAGGCUGUAACCCAGAAUGGUAAACUGCCUU